CCUACGGGAGGCAGCAGUAGGGAAUCUUCGGCAAUGGGGGCAACCCUGACCGAGCAACGCCGCGUGAGUGAAGAAGGUUUUCGGAUCGUAAAGCUCUGUUGUAAGAGAAGAACGUGUGUGAGAGUGGAAAGUUCACACAGUGACGGUAACUUACCAGAAAGGGACGGCUAACUACGUGCCAGCAGCCGCGGUAAUACGUAGGUCCCGUG
rnacentral:rRNA from 1 species